AGAGUUUGAUCCUGGCUCAGGACGAACGCUGGCGGCGUGCUUAACACAUGCAAGUCGAACGGGCUUCUGGGGUUCUGGCUUUUUUGGUUGGGGUUCUGGGGGUUAGUGGCGAACGGGUGAGUAACACGUGAGUAACCUGCCCUUCACUUCUGGAUAACCGCUUGAAAGGGUGGCUAAUACGGGAUGUUUCUGGGUCUGUCGCAUGGCGGGUUCGGGAAAGAUGGCACUGUUUGGUGUUUUUGGUGGGGGAUGGGCUCGCGGCCUAUCAGCUUGUUGGUGGGGUGAUGGCCUGCCAAGGCUUUGACGGGUAGCCGGCCUGAGAGGGUGGGCGGUCACACUGGGACUGAGAUACGGCCCAGACUCCUACGGGAGGCAGCAGUGGGGAAUAUUGCACAAUGGGCGGAAGCCUGAUGCAGCGACGUCGCGUGAGGGAUGGAGGCCUUCGGGUUGUGAACCUCUUUCGCCAGUGAGGAAGGCCUUGCCUGUGUGGUGGGGUUGACGGUAGCUGGGUUAAUUGAAGCGCCGGCUAACUACGUGCCAGCAGCCGCGGUAAUACGUAGGGCGCGAGCGUUGUCCGGAAUUAUUGGGCGUAAAGGGCUUGUAGGCGGCUGGUCGCGUCUGCCGUGAAAUCCUCUGGCUCAGCUGGGGGCGUGCGGUGGGUACGGGCUGGCUUGAGUGCGGUAGGGGAGACUGGAACUCCUGGUGUAGCGGUGGAAUGCGCAGAUAUCAGGAAGAACACCGGUGGCGAAGGCGGGUCUCUGGGCCGUUACUGACGCUGAGGAGCGAAAGCGUGGGGAGCGAACAGGAUUAGAUACCCUGGUAGUCCACGCUGUAAACGUUGGGCACUAGGUGUGGGGGGCCUUUUCCGGGUUUUCCGCGCCGUAGCUAACGCAUUAAGUGCCCCGCCUGGGGAGUACGGCCGCAAGGCUAAAACUCAAAGGAAUUGACGGGGGC
rnacentral:rRNA from 1 species